rnacentral:rRNA from 1 species
AUUGAACGCUGGCGGCAUGCCUUACACAUGCAAGUCGAACGGCAGCACGGGUGCUUGCACCUGGUGGCGAGUGGCGAACGGGUGAGUAAUACAUCGGAACGUACCUUAUCGUGGGGGAUAACGCAGCGAAAGCUGUGCUAAUACCGCAUACGCCCUGAGGGGGAAAGCGGGGGAUCGCAAGACCUCGCGCGAUUAGAGCGGCCGAUGCCUGAUUAGCUUGUUGGUGGGGUAAAAGCCCACCAAGGCGACGAUCAGUAGCUGGUCUGAGAGGGCGAUCAGCCACACUGGGACUGAGACACGGCCCAGACUCCUACGGGGGGCAGCAGUGGGGAAUUUUGGACAAUGGGGGAAACCGUUAUCCAGCAAUGCCGCGUGGGUGAAGAAGGCCUUCGGGUUGUAAAGCUCUUUUGUCAGGGAAGAAACACCGGCUCUAACACAGUCUGGGAAUGACGGUACCUGAAGAAUAAGCACCGGCUAACUACGUGCCAGCCGCCGCCGUAA